rnacentral:rRNA from 1 species
UACAGAGGGUGCGAGCGUUGUUCGGAAUUACUGGGCGUAAAGCGCGCGCAGGCGGCCUUUUAAGUCUGACGGUGAAAUGCCGGGGCUCAACCCCGUGCCCGCCGCGGAUACUGGGAGGCUGGAGACAUGUAGAGGCAAGCGGAAUUCCGGGUGUAGCGGUGGAAUGCGUAGAGAUCCGGAAGAACACCGGAGGCGAAGGCGGCUUGCUGGGCAUCGUCUGACGCUGAGGCGCGAAAGCGUGGGGAGCGAACAGG